rnacentral:sRNA from 1 species
AGGAAAUACUCCACGAGGCUCAUCAGGCUCCAUCAGUGCCCUUGCGAGUCAAGCUACCAAAUUAUCAACCAAUGGCACUAACCCAGUGAUAUGUCUAGAAUCAGAACAUGGAUCAGUUUUAAUCAAGAAAAAUGAGAAGCUGACCACUGCCAUAUAUAAAAGCAGCUGAUUGGUUCACAUAAUGAGCAGUGGCACAAGUCUUUCUUUAAAAUGCUAGCAGUCCAAGUGAACUAAGGCUCGUAUAAACUGAUGUUUACCAAAGUUGGCAGUGAUGGUCCAAUGGCAGAUGUUUAUUUAUUUGUUUUGCUCUUUAUUCAAUGUACAGAAAGUAUCAUGAAUGUAAAUAUCAUCCCAGAAUGCACUUGUGUACAUUAUUUCAUAUACAAAUACACUAAAAGCUCUUUAUGGUAAGAGUUUUAUUAUGACAUUUCAGCUAUUGGUUAGCAUAGUCUCUUGCACAUAGGCUUCUAGAAGCCAUGUUUCAUUUAUUGUUUUGUAGUUGAUCAUUUCUGCAUGAAAUUUGUUCUGUUUGAUUUUGAUUUGGUAUAAGGAUGUAAUGAUGUGUCCCUGUUUCUGUUUGAUUUUGAUUUG